UUUGUACAAUAAGCCUAAGUAAACUUUGUUGCAAUGCAAACAUUCUUUGGACCCAAAACGAAUUGAAAACGAUCCGCUGAGCUCGUUAAUUACAGCAAACAAAUAUUGAAAGAAUAGAGCUAUUCUUCUAUGCACAAACACAGACUAGGCCUCAGCAACAACCUCUCCUAUAUGCAAAAAGAAAGAGAGAAACAAAAGAAAGAAAGCAAACUUUUCUUGAGUGGAAGAAAUGAAUCAUGAUACAUCAGACUGCAUAGCCACCGUCGCAAGCGCAGCUACAGGUGCCGCUGUUAAUAUCUCCGUGUUGGCGAGGUUUAGUGCUG
rnacentral:misc_RNA from 1 species